rnacentral:rRNA from 1 species
UACGUAGGGUGCAAGCGUUGUCCGGAAUUAUUGGGCGUAAAGAGCUCGUAGGCGGUUUGUUGCGUCGGCUGUGAAAUCCCGAGGCUCAACCUCGGGUCUGCAGUCGAUACGAGCAAACUAGAGUGUUGCAGGGGAGACUGGAAUUCCUGGUGUAGCGGUGAAAUGCGCAGAUAUCAGGAGGAACACCGGUGGGGAAGGCGGGUCUCUGGGCAACAACUGACGCUGAGGAGCGAAAGCGUGGGGAGCGAACAGG